rnacentral:rRNA from 1 species
GACGAACGCUGGCGGCGUGCCUAAUACAUGCAAGUCGAACGAACUCUGGUAUUGAUUGGUGCUUGCAUCAUGAUUUACNUUUGAGUGAGUGGCGAACUGGUGAGUAACACGUGGGAAACCUGCCCAGAAGCGGGGGAUAACACCUGGAAACAGAUGCUAAUACCGCAUAACAACUUGGACCGCAUGGUCCGAGUUUGAAAGAUGGCUUCGGCUAUCACUUUUGGAUGGUCCCGCGGCGUAUUAGCUAGAUGGUGGGGUAACGGCUCACCAUGGCAAUGAUACGUAGCCGACCUGAGAGGGUAAUCGGCCACAUUGGGACUGAGACACGGCCCAAACUCCUACGGGAGGCAGCAGUAGGGAAUCUUCCACAAUGGACGAAAGUCUGAUGGAGCAACGCCGCGUGAGUGAAGAAGGGUUUCGGCUCGUAAAACUCUGUUGUUAAAGAAGAACAUAUCUGAGAGUAACUGUUCAGGUAUUGACGGUAUUUAACCAGAAAGCCACGGCUAACUACGUGCCAGCAGCCGCGGUAAUACGUAGGUGGCAAGCGUUGUCCGGAUUUAUUGGGCGUAAAGCGAGCGCAGGCGGUUUUUUAAGUCUGAUGUGAAAGCCUUCGGCUCAACCGAAGAAGUGCAUCGGAAACUGGGAAACUUGAGUGCAGAAGAGGACAGUGGAACUCCAUGUGUAGCGGUGAAAUGCGUAGAUAUAUGGAAGAACACCAGUGGCGAAGGCGGCUGUCUGGUCUGUAACUGACGCUGAGGCUCGAAAGUAUGGGUAGCAAACAGGAUUAGAUACCCUGGUAGUCCAUACCGUAAACGAUGAAUGCUAAGUGUUGGAGGGUUUCCGCCCUUCAGUGCUGCAGCUAACGCAUUAAGCAUUCCGCCUGGGGAGUACGGCCGCAAGGCUGAAACUCAAAGGAAUUGACGGGGGCCCGCACAAGCGGUGGAGCAUGUGGUUUAAUUCGAAGCUACGCGAAGAACCUUACCAGGUCUUGACAUACUAUGCAAAUCUAAGAGAUUAGACGUUCCCUUCGGGGACAUGGAUACAGGUGGUGCAUGGUUGUCGUCAGCUCGUGUCGUGAGAUGUUGGGUUAAGUCCCGCAACGAGCGCAACCCUUAUUAUCAGUUGCCAGCAUUAAGUUGGGCACUCUGGUGAGACUGCCGGUGACAAACCGGAGGAAGGUGGGGAUGACGUCAAAUCAUCAUGCCCCUUAUGACCUGGGCUACACACGUGCUACAAUGGAUGGUACAACGAGUUGCGAACUCGCGAGAGUAAGCUAAUCUCUUAAAGCCAUUCUCAGUUCGGAUUGUAGGCUGCAACUCGCCUACAUGAAGUCGGAAUCGCUAGUAAUCGCGGAUCAGCAUGCCGCGGUGAAUACGUUCCCGGGCCUUGUACACACCGCCCGUCACACCAUGAGAGUUUGUAACACCCAAAGUCGGUGGGGUAACCUUUUAGGAACCAGCCGCCUAAGGUGGGACAGAUGAUUAGGGUGAAG